GAUUCCAAAAUAUUAUUAUUUAUUAUUUCCAUUUUAUUAUUUAUUGCUUCCAUUUUAACCAUCACUUAGGUAAUCUUCAGUAGAUACUGAGGUAAUGGUGUCAUCUAUAUGUUCCAUAUUUUCUAUUAUAUUAUAUUGUAUUUCUAUAUGUUCUUCUACUAAUUUAUCUUCACCUUUUCAUCCAUAGUUAAUUUUUCUAUAGUAUAUUUAUAAACAAUAUCAACGAAAAAUAUUAUAUCUUUUUCAUCUACUGUAUGAUUUCUAAAAUAUUUAUGAAAUAUUUCUUU
rnacentral:lncRNA from 1 species